rnacentral:rRNA from 1 species
UACGUAGGUGGCGAGUGUUGUCCGGAUUUACUGGGCGUAAAGGGAGCGUAGGCGGACUUUUAAGUGAGAUGUGAAAUACCCGGGCUCAACUUGGGUGCUGCAUUUCAAACUGGAAGUCUGGAGUGCAGGAGAGGAGAAUGGAAUUCCUAGUGUAGCAGUGAAAUGCGUAGAGAUUAGGAAGAACACCAGUGGCGAAGGCGAUUCUCUGGACUGUAACUGACGCUGAGGCUCGAAAGCGUGGGGAGCAAACAGGAUUAGAUA